rnacentral:miRNA from 1 species
ACGGUGAGCUCAGAAAUGCUGGC